rnacentral:rRNA from 1 species
GCUUUCGACGGUAAGGUAUUGGCUUACCGUGGCAGUGACGGUUAACGGGGGAUUAGGGUUCAAUUCCGGAGAGGGAGCCUGAGAAACGGCUACCACAUCUAAGGAAGGCAGCAGGCGCGCAAAUUACCCAAUUCUAACAGCAUAAGAGAGGUAGUGACAAGAAAUAACAGUACAAGGCAGUUAAAAUGCUUUGUAAUUGGAAUGAUAGAAAUUUAAAUACUUUUUAAAGUAUCAAUUGGAGGGCAAGUCUGGUGCCAGCAGCCGCGGUAAUUCCAGCUCUAAUAGCGUAUAUUAAAAUUGUUGCAGUUAAAAAGCUCGUAGUUGAAUUUUUGCUAAAAAUAACCGGUCUGCUUUUAUUAAUAAAAGUGGUAUCUUGGUGUGUUUUUAGCAAUAAUGUCCUUUGAAAUGUUUCUUACUUUAUUGUAAAAAGCAAUUUUCAGGAUUUUUACUUUGAGAAAAUUAGAGUGUUUCAAGCAGGCUAACGUUUUGAAUACUGCAGCAUAGAAUAAUAAAAUAGGAUUUUAGUUCUACGUUAUUGGUUUUAAGAACUAAAUUAAUGAUUGAUAGGAGCAGUUGGGGGCAUUUGUAUUUAACUGUCAGAGGUGA